CUCAGCUUUAGCCAAAGUGCUAGUUUUUUCUCUUGUUACCUCCGUCUUUCUGCCUUCUCUGAAUCCCUUUCUCUUCUCAGCUUUAUAUCGAUGUUUUAUCAUCAUGGAUUCAUGUGAAUGAUUGCAGAUUUCAGCAAGAUAACAGAAUGAAAAGCAGAAGCUUCUUUCUUUGAGGGGAAUGUUGUUUGGCUCGAUGAAACCAAUUUCGCAAACCCAAUUCCUAAUCCUUUCAUCGUCGUUUCAUGAACGAGUCAUAUUCACUUAUGAAGUUAGUUUCGUCGGACCAGGCUUCAUUCCCCACAAAAAAUGCUUCUUUAGCAAUUGUUAGCUUAACUGUAUGUGAGUUUCAACUUUCAAGCUAUAAUCCAUUAUAUUUAAGAAUUUAUUUUUCCUCG
rnacentral:lncRNA from 1 species